CCCGCGCAUUAAGAGUUGGGCCGACGCCCAUACCAACCUGCCUACCCAGGUAAGGUGGUUCGCUGUAGCGAAUGUGGUUUCUAUAGAAACAAUCCCAUGGGAAUAC
rnacentral:ncRNA from 2 species